rnacentral:rRNA from 1 species
GCAAGUCGAACGAUAACGGAUUAAAGCUUGCUUUAAUUUUCAGCUAAGUGGCGCACGGGUGAGUAAUAUAUAUGUAACGUGCCUUCAAGAAGGGGAUAACAAUUGGAAACGAUUGCUAAUACCCUAGAUGCCUUUAAGUCUUAAGACUGCAAGGGAAAUAUUUAUAGCUUGAAGAUCGGCCUGUACAGUAUCAGUUAGUUGGUGAGGUAAUGGCUCACCAAGACAAUGACGCUUAACUGGUCUGAGAGGAUGAUC